ensembl:lncRNA
CUGCUCUCCUUCCUUCUGCUCCUUGCUCCUUCUCAGGGUUAACUCCUGUCCUCUUCCCUCUAAAAGGAACUUUCUCUACAAGAGAAUCAGUUUAUCUCACUUUCCAGUGAGACUCUUCCCUGAGUAAUUCAAUCAGAGGACAUUCAGCUGCGUAUAACCCAGCUCUGUGGUGUGCUGUAUGAGUCAAUGCUGCUUCUGAAUGUCUCAAAGAUGCAUGCAUAUCUUCUUGCCAUUCCCAGGACACGAGUACCGUGGAGAGGCUUAGUAAUUCAAUUUUUUUCCAGAAAUCUCUUCUAAAUAGUCUGUCCACCUCAAGCAUGCUGCUCCACACUGCACUUAUGCAGUCCUGGGAGAGCAGCAGAGCAAGUGACAUCAUUGCCAAGCUCAUCAGUGCUGCCAGCUUGUGCCAAGAACCAUUUCUGAGCUAGCAUGGCCCUGGAGAUGACAAGGGGAGAAACACAGCAAACUGGAGAGAGGCUUCCCUGGUGAGAGGAGAGCUGUGGUAGCCCUGGGGCUGUCAAGCAUGGCUCUGGCUCCAGACGAUAGGCAUUAUAUAGGAGUUGAUGGGCAGCUCAGUCAAGAAGAAAUGAAACACCAUCAAAAAAGGAUAAUAAAUUUGCAAGCAAUGACCACGGACUUUUCCAAGUGGUAUUUCUCAGGUUCAUAUUAUGUUUGGAAUAUAUUGUCCAAAUGUACCUAAAUCACCCUUUUAUAGUGGUAAUAGGACAAAGAUUGAAUGAGCUUUGGAUUAAUGCCUCUGUGUAUUUAAUUGCCAAAUGUGUCAGGCUUCUAGUUUUUCCUAGCUAUAAAAUGUUUUAUGCUUGAGAGAGUACAGACUGAUUGUUUUUCUUUUCUUUGUUUGUUUGUUUGUUUUUGUUUUUGUUUAGCUGACUAAAAUUGAGUGGGCACAGGCAUUUAUUUCUUUUAUUUUUAUAACGCUAUAUAAUACCGAUGUCUCUUCUGGCAGUUUUGAUUCUUUUAGAGAUUUAAAUUCUAUUUAGGGGUAGUUAAAUUCUGUGACCUCAUACUGUGUUUGAAGUACCUUCCCACUGUUGUUUAAUAAAGCUCAUGAUGAAAGAAAAGCCCAGUACCAGUCAUAGCUAUUGUUAUCAGGGAACAAGAGAGGGAAUAAUGACAGAUGAAGGGUGGAAUAUUGUCAAAGACUUUUUUUCCACACAUAAACAGUUCACUGGUCUUCACAAUCUUAUGAGUAUCUGUCUAUGAUUCUGCUCCCAACAUUCUUUAUCACCACUGCUAGGAAAAACAACACCAAACAUCAGAGCCCUCCAUAGACUCUCCUAUGUGUCAAUGGCACCUGGAAUUCAGUGUCC